UCUCAGCUGCUCUGGGUGA
rnacentral:misc_RNA from 1 species